rnacentral:rRNA from 1 species
UACGAAGGGGGCUAGCGUUGUUCGGAUUUACUGGGCGUAAAGCGCACGUAGGCGGAUCGUUAAGUCGGGGGUGAAAUCCCGGGGCUCAACCCCGGAACUGCCUUCGAUACUGGCGAUCUCGAGUCCGGAAGAGGUGAGUGGAACUCCUAGUGUAGAGGUGGAAUUCGUAGAUAUUAGGAAGAACACCAGUGGCGAAGGCGGCUCACUGGUCCGGUACUGACGCUGAGACGCGAAAGCGUGGGGAGCGAACAGG